CUCGGUUCAGGACGAACGGCUGGCGGCGUGCCUAAUACAUGCAAGUCGAACGGUCUUUCUAUGGAAGCUUGCUUCCGCUGAGAAGAUAGUGGCGAACGGGUGAGUAACACGUGGGUAACCUGCCCAUAAGAGGGGGAUAACAUCCGGAAACGGGUGCUAAUACCGCAUAGUUUUUCUUGAUCGCAUGAUCGGGAAAGGAAAGACGGCCUUUGUGCUGUCGCUUAUGGAUGGACCCGCGGCGUAUUAGUUAGUUGGUGAGGUAACGGCUCACCAAGACGAUGAUACGUAGCCGACCUGAGAGGGUGAUCGGCCACAUUGGGACUGAGACACGGCCCAAACUCCUACGGGAGGCAGCAGUAGGGAAUCUUCCGCAAUGGACGAAAGUCUGACGGAGCAACGCCGCGUGAGUGAAGAAGGGUUUUUUCGGAUCGUAAAACUCUGUUGUCAGAGAAGAACAAGUUGGAGAGUAACUGCUCCAGCCUUGACGGUAUCUGACCAGAAAGCCACGGCUAACUACGUGCCAGCAGCCGC
rnacentral:rRNA from 1 species